CAUUUUAGACCCCUGGCUGCCUUCAUAAUCAGGUCAGUUUCCUACUGGCAGAAGAAGCAGCAACAUCACCUGACUGCAAGGCCACUGGUAUCAUCCUGGAGGGAACCUGAGACUCAGAAGGGUGAAGGAGCUUAUUGAAGGUCACCGAGAAGACCAGUGACAUAGCCAAGAAUAGCACCCAAGUCUCCUAAGUACCAUUCCACUACCCCAAUUAAUGAGUCAUAUCAUCACCUCCUAGACUGCUCCAUGAUGUUUCUGAAAGAACUACCCAUGUGGAUCAGAUCCAGAACACACA